UGCUCUUGAGAUGGAUCAACUGGGGA
rnacentral:piRNA from 1 species